UUGAAAUGUCAGCAACAUUAAGCACUGAAGAUAAAAUUAAAAUUGUGUUAAUUGUGUGAUAAUUAUAAAAUGUGUCAAGAAGCUGCAGAAAUUUUUAAUAACUAACACCCAGAGAAAAGUCUUUACCAUGGCAGAAUAAGGAAAAUAUUUAACAAGUUCAAGACUUGAAUUUGGAGAUAAAAUGAAUUAAAGGAUUUCUUGACAAGGUUCCCCUGCUUUAACGUCAACAUAAAUUAUUCCAACAGGAUGGUAUUCCAUGCCGCAGUAUGCUAAAUUCACCUCGCUCUCCAGAAUUAACGCCACUCGAUUUUUGUAUGCAGUUUUUUGAAAACAAAUAGCAUAUCUUCAAAGGCCACUUACAGAUGUUGCUCAUUUAGAAAGAAUUAUUACAGAUUCAUCUACACUCUAAAAUUACUACAACAUACUUAAAAUUAUUACAACAGUUAAUUAUUAGGGUAUUAUUCAUUUAAAUGCAUCUGUAAAGUAUAACAAUAAGAUUGACAUUAAG